UGGUGGACGAGUAGGUGAGUAUGUAGCAGAGGUGGUGGACGAGUAGGUGAGUAUGUGUAAGAGGUGGUGGACGAGUAGGUGAGUAUGUGUAAGAGGUGGUGGAUGAGUAGGUGAGUAUGUGUAAGAGGUGGUGGAUGAGUAGGUGAGUAUGUAGCAGAGGUGGUGGACGAGUAGGUGAGUAUGUGUAAGAGGUGGUGGAUGAGUAGGUGAAUAUUUAGCAGAGGUGGUGUACAAGGAGGUAUGUGUCAUAUGUAGUGGAUGAGGAGGAAGUGUAUGUGUAAGAGGUGGUGGAUGAGUAGGUGAGUAUGUGUAAGAGGUGGUGGACGAGGAGGUAUGUGUCAUAUGUAGUGGACGAGGAGGAAGUGUAUGUGUAAGAGAUGGUGGAUGAGCAGGAAGUGAUGCUGAGGCAGAAUUAAUCUCUCAUUGACUUUGAUUUUGCAGUUGCACAACAUUUUUUUGUUUAUUGUAAUGUGCUUUUCAUUUAGUUUUCCUUAAUCAAUGGGUUUUUGCAGUGGACUACUGUAUUUUUUGCCACUGCUGAAUAUACAGACAUUCAGUACUGUAUCACUUGCAGUACUUAGAGUAAUCAAGAUGUUCACUGAACAAAGUUGUGAUUAUUACACUUUUCUCUUGUAAAAUGUGUUUACUAUUAUUACUAUUUUUUAUCUGUAUGUAAUGGAUGCUCUGUGGUGUUGAUUUUGAGAACAGAUGGAAUGGUUUUGAGGUGUGUGUUUGAUUUUGACAGAGGUGUCAGGGUUUUGUGAAUGUAGUUUGAAGAUUUGAGAAAAUGGGUGUGGGUUUCAUGAAAUGUCUUAGCAAUUAUGAAAAACGGAAAGAAAAAAGACUGGUUCAAUAGAUGGCGUUUGGUGCAGGUAAGGUGAGUGAUACAUUAACAAGGAGAUAUUUUUACUUGUGAUCAACACCAUGCAGACUGUAAAUCAGUCAGUCCACCGGCUCACUAUUCUCUUUAUGUUGUGAAACCCUACAAUAAAUAUACUAUUUGUCUUUCUGAGGGUUUAUCAGUAAGUCAAUGAGAUACAAAGAAGCAGCUUUGGAAUGUUGUGGUGUUGGUAUAAACUGCGUCAGACUGUUGAAUGCGUUUAUCUUGUCUAGACUCAAGCUGUUUUGGUUGUACUGAUUUACUUUCCCGUCUCUUCACAAUACUGCAGUCUUUUCUAUAUCCAUGUACUAAGAAAAGCUUUAUUAUAAUCGGAAUCUAAUGCCCUGACCUCUUACACCAAUGCCCAGUGGAUUUGGGAGUUGAAGAUCACAGCAAGCCAAGAUCCCUGAACUGUCUGAGGGUGUAUCUGGAGUGUGAUCAGACCAGGAAAUCUGAUCCUCUCCUGUCUCUUCUAUGUUACCUCCCUCCCCCAGGACAUGCUGGGAAAAGAUAAGUUACACAAGAACUGAGACAGCCAGGCAUCCUCAAAACAUCCCACUACCACCAUGUUGUCGUCUGGUAAAAAAAAGAAAAUGAAACAUUGCAUUCCAGUGUUGACACCAUAUUAAAAGGGCAAGCAUGGUGGUUGUAGUGUGAUGUUUUAGGGGCUCUUUGCUGGCAC
ensembl:lncRNA